rnacentral:rRNA from 1 species
AUUGAACGCUGGCGGCAGGCCUAACACAUGCCAGUCGAGCGGAUGAAGGGAGCUUGCUCCUGGAUUCAGCGGCGGACGGGUGAGUAAUGCCUAGGAAUCUGCCUGGUAGUGGGGGAUAACGUCCGGAAACGGGCGCUAAUACCGCAUACGUCCUGAGGGAGAAAGUGGGGGAUCUUCGGACCUCACGCUAUCAGAUGAGCCUAGGUCGGAUUAGCUAGUUGGUGGGGUAAAGGCCUACCAAGGCGACGAUCCGUAACUGGUCUGAGAGGAUGAUCAGUCACACUGGAACGGAGACACGGUCCAGACUACUACGGGAGGCAGCAGUGGGGAAUAUUGGACAAUGGGCGAAAGCCUGAUCCAGCCAUGCCGCGUGUGUGAAGAAGGUCUUCGGAUUGUAAAGCACUUUAAGUUGGGAGGAAGGGCAGUAAGUUAAUACCUUGCUGUUUUGACGUUACCAACAGAAUAAGCACCGGCUAACUUCGUG